GACGAACGCUGGCGGCGUGCUUAACACAUGCAAGUCGAACGGAAAGGCCCUGCUUUUGUGGGGUGCUCGAGUGGCGAACGGGUGAGUAACACGUGAGUAACCUGCCCUUGACUAUGGGAUAACUUCAGGAAACUGGGGCUAAUACCGGAUAGGAGCUCCUGCUGCAUGGUGGGGGUUGGAAAGUUUCGGCGGUUGGGGAUGGACUCGCGGCUUAUCAGCUUGUUGGUGGGGUAGUGGCUUACCAAGGCUUUGUCGGGUAGCCGGCCUGAGAGGGUGACCGGCCACAUUGGGACUGAGAUACGGCCCAGACUCCUACGGGAGGCAGCAGUGGGGAAUAUUGCACAAUGGGCGGAAGCCUGAUGCAGCAACGCCGCGUGCGGGAUGACGGCCUUCGGGUUGUAAACCGCUUUCGCCUGUGACGAAGCGUGAGUGACGGUAAUGGGUAAAGAAGCACCGGCUAACUACGUG
rnacentral:rRNA from 1 species